UCCUCUACUUCUCCCUGAUAAUAACAGAUUAACCAGACUAUUACACGUAAGGCAUUUAGCCUAACACAGCAUCUGAAUAAAUGUUUCUUCAAGUGAACUAAAGAGGAAGGGAACUAAUAUUUGCUGAGCAGAGCUUGACCCACUUAAAACUCACAGCAACCCUGCAAGGUGUUAUAUUUUGCUUUUAUAGAUUUCUUUCGAGACCCUUCCCAUCACCUAAAGAAUUUCUUUAAUAAUAAAUUAUAAACUUCAAAGUCCUCA